UCUGCCCCUUGAGUUGGCAAGCAGGUUCUUUUGGUGCCCUGGCUAAGAAACAUCACCUCCAGAACAACACAUGGAAAGGCGGGCCAAGAAGUAGUCCUAAGAUUGUUGACUCAGGAGUCACGAUGCCUGGGAUGGAAUCCCAGACCUGCCACGUGCUGACUGUGUGACCUGGGGCAAGCUACGCAACCUCUGUGAUGCUCUGCGCCCUUACGUCUCCAAGGGGAUAAUGAUCACAGGACCGUCAUGGGGGUUCACGGAGUUGAUGCAGGGUAUUCUGCAUACCAACCCUCAUAGGACACCUGAGAGUCCCUUCAGCCCCCAACAUAUCCGACCACAGAUUGUCCCAGGAGGAGCCUGCGACUCUGAUGUGGGGAAUUCUCUGGAAACGGAACAGCACGCUGCCGCCUAGUUGACUCCAUGGAAGUAGAGGCUGAGAGGAAACCUAAGCUUCGUCCCUUCCUUACAAACAGGCACCAGCACCAGGCAUGCCACUGGACCCUGGAGAGGAACAAGUCUUAGAGUUAGCAACAAGUUCUGAGAAAUAUCUGCCCUCCGUACACACACCCUGUGCACACGCCUGGCCCCAUAUACACACACCGUGUACGCGCACAUCCCUGGAGUUGGAAGCUAAUGUCACUAGAGGUAACAUUACAGGGUCAUGAAUACAUAAAAACUGCUAAGCAAGAAGACAGGUACAUCCAACCCCUUGACAUUUUAUCAUCCAUGAAGUUCAGGCUCGAAAUCUGUGCAACCAAGUUACAAAAGAGACCGGGGGGGGGGGGGGGGGGGGGCGCAGCGCGGGGCAUCGUGUUUUAAACGUCUUGAUUAUACAAGGUGCAGCAGCUUGGCACCAGCCUGUUGUGUCUUUACACUCUGCUGACCCUUGCUAAAAGAGAGCAACUAAAAGCAAAGGAGAGAACCGCCCAGCAGCUCGGAGCUCUUAGCUCCUCAUGCAGCCGCUACAGAGCUAGGCCGGGAGGCUGGUGAAGAACGCGGACGGACGGACGGAUGACACCCUGCCCAGACACACUCCAGGAAUGUGAACCCACAGCCCUCAGGAAGCUACAGUGCAAUAAGAGACAGAUAACAAGGACCAGGCCGGAGGCCAACACUGGAGCCGUUAGAGCCUCCAAAGGAGAAGCCAUUGGAACAGCAGCCGCCUGAGUGACAGACAGAGCUGAGCCAGGUUGAGGCGGCGGGGACAGUGUUCCAGGCCCAGGAGGCAAAGGAAUCCAAGCCAGAACUGCAUAACACGGACGGCUGCUUUAAACAGAAGAAUAACCGUGCUCACAGCAGCGUUAUCCACAAGAGCCGGAAGUGAAAGCAAGCCCAAAGCCCAUUAACUGGCUCACUUCCUCAGAGGGUGGCGGGCCACUGUGCUGGAAGGAGGCCAUGAGGCUGGGGAGAAGUGUGAGGAGACUACCGAGGAAGCCACAGCAUGGUUGGGACAAGGAGAUUUUUCCAUUGCAUGGGAGACCGACAGCAACAUCUUCAACUUGCGCGUGCACCGAGCAGGGCUCCUCGUCACUUACUCGGGGACAUAUGGUUUUCAUCAGCUACCUCUCUCUUCUUGGCAGCCACCAGAUCAAGGAUUUACAUUUCGUUUAACAAACGUCCCCUCAAACCCCUUGCGCCAAGCUCUUAUUUGUUACUCUACCCCUUUCUCUGUCUCUCGUGAUCCCAUCUCUGCCUCAUUUGCCAAAGAAUGCCAACCCCUAGCCAGGCAAACCCAACUAAAGGAAGUACCAGACCUGGCCAGCAAAGCCUGGAAGCAGAAGUUGGCCCAAAGGCCUCUGGGAGAUGGAGCAGUCGAGGAAAGGGGACAGAGGCCUAGAUUGGGCUCCUGGCGUCUCGCCCAUUGGUCAGGAGCCUGGAAGCAGACGAACCAAGUCUUCCAUCUCUACACCACCUGGCAGUCCAAACUCCAGUCCAAACUCCAGUCCGACUCCUUCCUGGGACAUAACAGAGCUCAGGGUAAACCAAGGGAACGUUUCCCCAGAUCUUCCCAACAGCUGGUGUUCCAUCAGAUGCUAAGGCUGAUGACCAUGGGUCUGGAUUGCUGACUGUGACACCCUUAGCCACACAGAGUGGUAUGAGAGAGACUGACCCAGGGCAGGCAGUCCUGGGAACUUCUUGACUAUACAGAAGGACGCGUUCCUUUCUCUCUCGCCUAGAAACCGAGACUGGUCCAGGUGCUGACCUUAGUGCCCGCUGUGGCCAAAUCAAAGUGUGUUGUUCUCCACAGAAGUGUGAGUACUUUAACUCGUACAGAACCCGUGAUGGAGGCCCUUCAACAGACUGCCGGGUUAACAGUCUUCCGCAUCAUGUACUUCCUUGUACUCCGUCCUGAGGAAUGUUUCCCCAGGAAGCUAGUAUCCCCAGAGGAGGAUGGCCUGGAUAGAGAAGCUCUGGAAACCAGUUUACAUAUAAGAUGAACCAGGGCUAUCCAGUCUGGAGAAGGACAGAGGAAGUCGGGCUCACAACUGUUGCUGAGGACUUUCCCUGGCACAGGAGGAAAUGAGACAAAGUAGAUUCAGCAAGAAAAAUGCUAUUGACUCAUGCUAAGGGGCGGCUUGAAUUAGCCUCGAGAAUGGCUGAAUCCAGCAUUUUGCCGGCAUCAUCGAGGUUCUCUUCUCCAGUGGCCUGCCUCCACUUAUGUGAUCCAUAGCUGUACCCCAAACUACAUCCUCGGGGCUCUGACUCAUGCCAUCUCUCAAAUAUUUUCUCCUCACGUGGCAGGAAGCCUUCUUAGUCAUCAGCAGCCCUGGAUUCAUAGUCUAUUUAGAGACCCCAUCAGAAGAAGAUAGUCUUCCCUAACCCGUCUGUUGGGAGAGUCGUAGGCCCAACCAGUUGACUCAAACUUGAAAACUAGUCCUGUCUCCCAAACAACUCCCAUAGCCAAGUCAGGUGCCACAUUGACCUGGACUGGGUAUGAGCACACCCCCUGAUCCACCUACAGCACGUUCAUUAGAUGCCAUCUAGAAGGUUGUAUCAACACAGGGAGGGCAGAAGCGGAGCCAGGCAGACAGAACCAGCAGAUGCUCCCCACAGCCAUCUAUGAAUGUUGAGAGAAUCUGUUGUUUUCUUUUUGGGUAGCACCAAGUUUAAUCACACCAUCCUCCUUCUUGGUAUCUUUCCAUAGCUGCCGAUGGCCCAGGAGAUAAGGGCUAGUUCCAUACAAUGCCCUGCAGAGAAGUCUGUGUUCUGGCCUGCUCCCUGCUCAGCCUUACCCACCAUUCUUACUCACUCAUUCUCUCCUGAGUCCUUUCUACCAGAGCUGGUCAGUCCCCGACUUCCUCCUCUCAAAGCAGGGACCCGAUUUCCCCCUAAUCCUCAGCAACGUAGCCAGAAACAAAAUAACUGCCUGAAAACCCACGGGAACAGAGGAAAUGCCCAUCCAGCACCGCUAACCGCUGCUCCCAGAGGUGGCCCAGAGCUGAUUUUGAAGUCCUUCCCAAGCUCUACCCUACCUCAGGGGUGUUAUUCCUCCUGCCACUGGGCCUGUCCCAGCCUCCUGUCGCUAGAGUCCAGGGCUGAGCAAGCCUAAUCUCAUGGCAGCCUCAAGAACUGUUUCCCCCCUCCCAGAUCCAAGACCUGUCCCAGAAACGGCCUCCUCCCUGAAUUACCAAUAAUAGACAUAUCAAAAAGAUACCCACGGGGGACUCCCCUGGAGCUGGGGAGCCAGGUUAAAAGAUCUCCUCAGGUGAGACACCUACUCCCAGGUCUAGGAUGUACUGCCCUGGGCAGCUUCUGCCUCAUCUGAAACAGUGAACAUUUCCUUCUACAUUCUGCCCUACCCCUUGUACAAACAACUCUGGUUCACAGAGUAUUAUCUAUAACACACGAACCACAAGCAUAAGAUAAUGUGACUCCAAAUUAGGACAUUGGUAGUGUUCUAAGUAAACCGUCCCCAGAGGCAUCAUUUAAGUCAUUCCAGACGUCUUUUGCUAAAGGGUAUUCACAUCUCAGAGUUAGAAAUCUCUCUAGGGCUCCCUCGGUGUUUUCCCAUACUCACCAAGACGGGCACUGGGGGUUGGGGGUGGGGGUUGUUUCCUAUUGAUGGAACAUAGGGGUCAAGUGGUGAAUUCCAAAACAAAAGGGUAUCUCCUGCAAGCAAAGUUUAGACUCCACCAGGGAGGCAAUGCCAUUUCUUCCCCUAGUUAAAAAAAGAACAACUUAUUAUAAUGUUAUAGUUCCAGGACAAGCAGAGAGGAAGGGUGGAGGCUGACGUCAAGGUUGUGUUGUGGGAGACCUAUUAAGAUGUCUAAUCAAAACCUAAAUCAAAUCAGACACGGGAAUCUCUCAGACUGUUCCCGAACAGCAAAAUGUUAUAUAACGGAAGCUCAAAAGCAAGGAAUAGAAAAUUUCUAGGUAGCCAAAAAUGAAGCAAACGCAGGAACUGUCAGAAAGUCGAUCCCCUCCAAAGAGAGUCGAGGUCGGCAGUAGUGAAAUCACCUAAGGAGGCCCUGAUAACUCAAGGCACUCACUGGUUCCCAAGGAAAGGAACUCCUGCUGCCAAGGAGCUCACAGAUAAAAGUGAAGUCCAAUGUCAACACAGACAUCCUACCGUCUCCCAUCAGAGAAACUAGAGAUGAAGGACUAGUCUUAAAGGAACCUUUGGUUCGUUAGGCACUUAACGGAGUCGAUGAAAAGGCCACAUAACAAGAACAGAAAAUUAUGACCUACGGACAAGAUGAUUAAGUCUCAACUCUGAUGACCUGUUUGUCUAUUUCUCUUUUGGCUUCAUGUCAUUUGAAGCCUCCUUAGACACACGUGCCUUAGGUGCCACCCAGCCCCCUUGAACUGAUUCUGGGAAAUGGAUUCCUUUAUCCUUCGAAAUACUCCUUGCUUGGAAUCUGCUUCAAAUGAUGUUAAUAGAACCAUUCCCAAUACUGAAAUAAAAAAUUAAACACGGAAUUAUUUAAACACUCCAAUUAAAAGGCAUGCAUGGUCAAGAUGGAAUUUAUUUUCUUUAAACCACAGUCCAACUAAACACUUCCUACAAGAAAUCCACUUUAAAUAUAGUUGUAAAUAGUCUAAAAGUGCACCUUAUUCCUGUAAACUGCUGCUGUUCUGCUGAAUUAUUUCUUCUACUGAUUUACAGGUAUUAUUUCUCAAUAAUAGCCCUUUGUCUAUGGUGACCAUGUAAAUCAUUAUCCACUUACUAUACUUUAAGAGUGACAAAUACUAGUCCAGAUGGGACACUGAGAAAAUAAGCCUGAUCUAGAAGUAUCCUAAGAAAGCUGGGAAGUUACAUCACUACUGCCUAUUACAUUUGCUUCCAAUUUUUCUUCAAAUAUAUUAAUUAUUUAAAUGUCAAUAGACAGCUGGGCAUGGUAGCACACACCUCUAAUCCCAGCACUUGGGAAAUACAUGUGGUCCCAAGCACAGGCAGAUCUCUGUGAGUUUAAGGCUAGCCUGGUCUACACAGUGAAUUCCAGGACAGCCAUGGAUAUACAGAGAAUCCUUGUCUAAAACAAAAACAAAACAACCUUUGAUCUUAAAUCAAAGAUUAGAGUACAUGGCAUAUGGGAAGUUGCAAAAGAAAGCGCAGUUCCCCUAUAUCCUCUGAGGCCGCAGCCCUGAAC